UACAGAGGUCCCAAGCGUUACUCGGAAUUACUGGGCGUAAAGGGUGCGUAGGUGGUUUUUUAAGUCCGUUGUGAAAUCCCUGGGCUCAACCUGGGAAUGGCAGUGGAUACUGGAAAGCUAGAGUGCGGUAGAGGGUAGUGGAAUUCCCGGUGUAGCAGUGAAAUGCGUAGAGAUCGGGAGGAACACCAGUGGCGAAGGCGGGUUGCUGGGCUGACACUGACGCUGAGGCGCGAAAGCUAGGGGAGCGAACGGG
rnacentral:rRNA from 1 species